AUGCUUCUGCCAUCCCAUGAAAUGCUCAGUGUUUUAUUGCAGAUGUGUCACCCUUUGUGUCCUUCCUUGUGGCAAGGGACACGUUCGCUCCAGGGCCCGUUUUUGUCACCAGAAGGCAAUGUGAAGCAUCCCUCACGUAUCUGCCCAAUCUUGCUCUGGCCUGAUGAGGUAAGGCCUGGGUAACAGACUGAAAAUUAGGGGUAGUCCAGCAGCGCCUGGCUUUCCUUCUGAGCUCCUUCCCAUAGGGUGUGAU
rnacentral:lncRNA from 1 species